rnacentral:tRNA from 1 species
UGGCUACCUAGCUCAGCUGGCUAGAGCAUUCGGUUCAUACCCGAAAGGUCGUGGGUUCGACUCCCUCGGUAGCCAUC